CAGCAGCCACGGUAAAACGUAGGUGGCAAGCGUUGUCCGGAAUUAUUGGGCGUAAAGGGCUCGCAGGCGGUUUCUUAAGUCUGAUGUGAAAGCCCCCGGCUCAACCGGGGAGGGUCAUUGGAAACUGGGAAACUUGAGUGCAGAAGAGGAGAGUGGAAUUCCACGUGUAGCGGUGAAAUGCGUAGAGAUGUGGAGGAACACCAGUGGCGAAGGCGACUCUCUGGUCUGUAACUGACGCUGAGGAGCGAAAGCGUGGGGAGCGAACAGGAUUAGAUACCCGUGUAGUCCCUGUCUCUUAUAC
rnacentral:rRNA from 1 species